GAUGAACGCUGGCGGCGUGCCUAAUACAUGCAAGUCGAGCGAACGUACGAGAAGCUUGCUUUUCUGAUGUUAGCGGCGGACGGGUGAGUAACACGUGGAUAACCUACCUAUAAGACUGGGAUAACUUCGGGAAACCGGAGCUAAUACCGGAUAAUAUUUUGAACCGCAUGGUUCAAAAGUGAAAGACGGUCUUGCUGUCACUUAUAGAUGGAUCCGCGCUGCAUUAGCUAGUUGGUAAGGUAACGGCUUACCAAGGCAACGAUGCAUAGCCGACCUGAGAGGGUGAUCGGCCACACUGGAACUGAGACACGGUCCAGACUCCUACGGGAGGCAGCAGUAGGGAAUCUUCCGCAAAGGGCGAAAGCCUGACGGAGCAACGCCGCGUGAGUGAUGAAGGUCUUCGGAUCGUAAAACUCUGUUAUUAGGGAAGAACAUAUGUGUAAGUAACUGUGCACAUCUUGACGGUACCUAAUCAGAAAGCCACGGCUAACUACGUG
rnacentral:rRNA from 1 species